CUUUCUUUUUUUUUUAGGAAACCUUCACUCUCCAUUUGCUCCCCAAAGAUACACUCAUCUGUGGAAGGAUCAUCUACAAUAGCUCAGUCCAAGAUCGUCCCAGAAGUCUUCAGUUCUCAAACAACUUUUGAGGGUCAAAGAAAAAAGAAUCACUGAAUGACUACCUUUGAAGGUGACUGAACAGCAUCAAAGAGAUGGGGGAGAGAGAUGUGCUGGCAGAAAGACAGAGAGAGGACAGAGCAAGCUUCAAUGAUGGA